CGAGCAAGGGACGAAGCACAGUCUUGCAGUGCACCUGUGCUGAUGGAGAUUGUGGAGGAGAUGUCGUUGCCAAUCCGAACUGUUUGGGGUCUACAAGUGAGGAAAUCGAGGAUCGAGUUGCACAAGGAGGAAAUAAACAUCAGACCACAUCUUAAUACAGAACCAUGAUGCCACCUCAUAACACCACCUUCACCUGAGUGUGAUAAGAUAAUCAACCCGAUCCUGCCUUCACCUGAUGUUCAAAUGUUUAAAUGCACCUUUAAGUGGUUGAAAGGAC